rnacentral:misc_RNA from 1 species
GAUGAAGAACGCAGCAAAAUGCGAUAAGUAAUGUGAAUUGCAGAAUUCAGUGAAUCAUCGAAUCUUUGAACGCACAUUGCGCCCGCCAGUAUUCUGGCGGGCAUGCCUGUUCGAGCGUCAUUUCAACCCUCAAGCACAGCUUGGUGUUGGGACUCGCGUUAAUUCGCGUUCCCCAAAUUGAUUGGCGGUCACGUCGAGCUUCCAUAGCGUAGUAGUAAAACCCUCGUUACUGGUAAUCGUCGCGGCCACGCCGUUAAACCCCAACUUCUGAAUGUUGACCUCGGAUCAGGUAGGAAUACCCGCUGAACUUAAGCAUAUCAAUAAGCGGGA